UCGAGGUCGAGCAUCGAUCCUUCGUUAAGCGUAAACGGACAUUACACGGAAUCAGCUAUAAUUGAUUGAAUCGCUGUUAUAAGAACUACGAAAAGUUUUAACGACUUUGGUUCAUAUCUACUUACGGAUGAUUUUCCAGAAAAGGAAUUUUGAGAAGCUUUAUUAUAUGAAUUAUUUAAUUUGAUACUGCUUUGUAGAACUUAACUCCAUAUGAAAUACGCUAAUUUUUAUAAUUUUUCAGAUAUUUGAGUCGUAUGAAAAAAGUAUUGGAUGCUCUCAGAUCCCCUGAUCCCUUGUAAAUUUGAAGGCUGAGGGAGGAAUCCAUUGGCCUUGCAGGUUUUCGAGCCUGUUUCGUGGAUUCAGUGAAAACAAACACAAUUCCGACUGAAAUGCGUUGGAUCGACCUGUUGGAAGGCUGUGGGAUAUGUAUAUCUUCGUAUCUACAUUUAUGUGGCUCUUAUCUAAUUUAGGAUGGUUUUACAAAGCAAAUAUCUUUGAGAAACUUUAGGUAUUUUUAAUUUUUAUUUUGAAAAUAACCGGUAGUUCUAUCUUUUAUUUGAAUUAUGCAAAUAUUGCUAAUUUUCCAGAUAUUUUAAAGAUAUUUACCAAUGUUUGGGAUGCUGAUCCGCUGUACAUAUAGAGGCAGGGGGAGGAAACUUUCAUCCUGUGGGUGUUCGACAACCUUUCGUCCCGCCAGCGUAAUCGGACUCCACACGGACUGUACCAUAUUUGGUAGGGUACUUGGAAAUUGGAGGUUGCAUUAGAAAUUUAGGUUGGCAACCACAGAUUGGGGCGGGGUGGGGCCCCAAUCAUUACGUUCUAAUAUUAAUCAUGCAAUUGUGUGAUGAUGAGAUAGUCAGAGUGAUUGGUGAGGAGGAGAAUAUUCUUCGCGGAUUGAGAGAACCCUGCGAGCACCGGAACGUUGUAUUUACUGUCUGCGAAUGGACAAGAAGGAAUUGGUCUUUCUCAGGGGCCACUUCGCCGAGCUUUCCCAGGCCGUCCUGAGGAAGCUGAAGGCGGAUAUCAUCGCUGAGAGAAGACUGGAAACCGUGAAUUCCGCCGCGGACAAAGGGUUGGGCGAUCGACUCACUGGCCAGCCAGUUAUCUCAAGCAGGUCUGAAACGUAUGUUGGGAUGUGUGUUGGUUCGUGUCUCCCACAAUGCACCGAGAGCCACCGCGGACUUGGACUCGUCCGACUCGGGCUGUUCGAUGGAACGUGCCACUUGGCGCCCGGCGCCAGGGCUAAUAUUCGGAGCCGGGUCCCCGCAUCUGACCGCCCAGUCGAAGUCUCUCUUCGCCCAAGGCGUGGAUAAACUCACUGCCUCCACGGGCGAUCACGUCGAUGCCAGCGGCCGGCAACUUAACCAUGCUGAGGUCAUCGCGGCGUGCAUCGAGGUAGUGGCCGGGCGACCCGUUAAAUGGGCGGCCGCUGAGGUGGAUUCCUCGUACCGCUGAGCUGAGGGUAAAUAUGCGAGGGACAAGAAGGCGCCGCAGAAUUCCCCCCGUGUCCACUUUCCCCAGAGAGGAGAGAGGCGCCGCGUUGAAACCACCGAGCGGGACGGUGAAGCCCCUAGCCACGAGACCCGGUUCCCAGCCGGGAUUCGCUUCCACGACGGAGGAGACACUGAGGCGCAGGUCUUCCGGGACUUCCGAUGACUUGUCUGCAGCUACGUUCUGACUAUGUUCAAGACAAAGAGUAUAGUUUUUUAAGGAUACGACCGAAACCUCAACUUUGAAAGCUGAAUAAGAAGAAUAAGUGGUUAGAAAAUGUGUCAGACUUGAAGUAAAUCAGUGAUAAUUUGCUGUGAUAUUUAGUUAUUAUUGUAUUUAUUUUAGUUGUAUUAAUUUGACUGAUUUUUAGAAUUGGAGAAAUAACAAUGAUUGAUGAAGACCUGAAAUGUAAUAUGUUAUGAAUUUUUGUUAAAGAGAGGAAACAUGAGAUUUUUUAUAUAAUUUUUAUGUAACAAACCAGAAAGACUGUCAUAUGCUAAUGAAAUGUUAAUUAUAAUAUUCUUCAGGGAACUGAAUUAGACCUGUGUUGAAAAUACAGUACGAAAGUUUUGUAAUAAAUAUUAUUCCUGUCCUUAAGUAUACUAGAUAUGAACGGCUACUGUGAAUGUACUGUAUAAGCCAUAAUGACAUCCGAUAAUGGAUGGUCCUCCAGAAUGUGUGUUGAGUUAUCAACUAAUCAACUCGUCAGAAUAAAAGACCAGCAUAAUACAGAAAGAUUAAAAGUUUCAUUGGCUCUUGUGAACAUGGCAAUGAACUUUUGGUUUACAUAAAAGGGAAUUUUUUUGUUAGCUGAGCGACUGUUAGCUUAUCAAGGACACUUCUAUGUAUGUAGUUAUAAUCACAUAAUUAAUGUAACCUAUAUGUCAGAGAAUUUGUUGUUUUACCCAUUAUAGUGUAAUCAUUGGGACGACAGCUUCGUAUUCGGUUCGAAUCCCGUCAGAGAAUUGUAGGUUUUAUCGUCAGUAUAUACGCAGACUAUUUAUUCCGCCAUGUUUCCUGUCUUUAUAAAAGUGUAUUUACAUUUUUAUUUCACGGUAAUUAAACAUAAUAAAAUUGCGAAGGCAGAAC